GGUGCCAGGGGUGUUCCUGGUGUCCUGAGGGUCCCAGGAAUUGCUGGGGAGGGGCCCCUGGGGUGCCGGGGUCCCGGGGGCUGGCUCGCCCCAGCUCAGUUGAUCUGCUCCUCCUCCCAGAUGGGUGUAGGGAUGGCGCCGUAGGGAUCUCUGAUGAGCCUGGCGCACCGCACCAUCAUGGCGAGGAGGAAGAGGCACAUAAGCACCGUGAAGGCUGUGGCGAUGCCCUUGUCCACAUCGGCUGCCGGCAGUGCCGUGGCGGUCUCCAUGCUGGUGGUCCUCAGGACCCCACUGCAUUAGGCGCAACGAGCGUGCCAGGGCUUGGCUGACCCCCAGCAAAACUGACACUUCCCGGGGUUAGAAGCAGGACAGGAGGAAAAACCGCCGGUGAGCAAACAGGGGCGGUGAAGGAGGAUUUUGUUGUCGCUGAAGAGAGACGUUUGUGGCAGCAGAUGGAUAAAUUAUAUCUGUGCAAGGUUGGAGGAGAGGCGGGGUCCUGUUGAGCGGCGCCAGGAGAGCCACGUGGACCCAGCUGUGUGCAUAUAGGCAUAUGCCUAUAUAUAUAAUUUUUUAAGAUUUAUUUUUAACAUGUUUAAAAGCUA